GACGAACGCUGGCGGCGUGCUUAAUACAUGCAAGUCGAGCGAGGUUACUGGAGUGGAGCCCUUCGGGGUGAAGCUGCUUUAACCUAGCGGCGGACGGGUGAGUAACGCGUGGGUAACCUACCCCAAAGUCCGGGAUAACAGCGGGAAACCGCUGCUAAUACCGGAUGCCUUUACCUUGGGGCAUCUUGAGGUAAAGAAAGGCAACGCUUUGGGAUGGGCCCGCGUCCCAUUAGCUAGUUGGUGAGGUAACGGCUCACCAAGGCGACGAUGGGUAGCCGGCCUGAGAGGGUGGACGGCCACACUGGGACUGAGACACGGCCCAGACUCCUACGGGAGGCAGCAGUAGGGAAUAUUGCGCAAUGGACGGAAGUCUGACGCAGCGACGCCGCGUGAGCGAUGAAGGCCUUCGGGUCGUAAAGCUCUGUCCUUGGGGAAGAAGGCGAAAGCUUGACGGUACCAAGAAGAAAGCCCGGCUAACUACGUGCCAGCAGCCGCGGUAAAGUACUCUAU
rnacentral:rRNA from 1 species